UUUUUGGCACCGUUGCCGAGGAUGCUAAGUUAAUUUAAAAUUUGGAUUCCUAAUUUAUGUAUAAUUGAGUUUGUUUGUAGUUUGUUUUUUGUUUUAUUAUUUUAUUAUUACUAUUAUUUUUAAUUCCUAUUUUGUUUCUUAUUUUACUAUUUUUAUUAAUAAUUUUUCUCUUAGUGCGUUUUGGUUUUAGCUAAUACAAUAUUGGAAAAAAAAAAAAGAGAGAAGGAAGACAACUUUCCUGUGGCGUAUUGGAUAAGACCACACAUUCAACUAAAGAAAGGGCAAAUCGUGAAAUAAAAAUGGGAAAAGUAAAGCAAUUCCUUCAUGUAGCAACUUCAUCUCUCAAUUAGAGAAUUCCAAACCCGCCAACUAUCAAGAUAUUAUUCUCUUUCAAUUGGGAAUUAUUUUCUCAUUCCAACAAAGAAAAGAGACAUCACGACAAAGCGAAGUCACUGUUUUCAAGUAGCAGCUCCACACCCUGCAAGCAUCACUACUUUUUGCUUUCAAUCAAAAAGUCCCCUUCUUCAAAUUGGAAUCUUUAGUUCUAGUCCAAAU
rnacentral:lncRNA from 1 species